rnacentral:miRNA from 1 species
UUUGGCACAAUCACACCUGCUC